rnacentral:rRNA from 1 species
CCUACGGGAGGCAGCAGUGGGGAAUAUUGGACAAUGGGCGCAAGCCUGAUCCAGCCAUACCGCGUGGGUGAAGAAGGCCUUCGGGUUGUAAAGCCCUUUUGUUGGGAAAGAAAUCCAGCCGGCUAAUACCUGGUUGGGAUGACGGUACCCAAAGAAUAAGCACCGGCUAACUUCGUGCCAGCAGCCGCGGUAAUACGAAGGGUGCAAGCGUUACUCGGAAUUACUGGGCGUAAAGCGUGCGUAGGUGGUUGUUUAAGUCUGUUGUGAAAGCCCUGGGCUCAACCUGGGAACUGCAGUGGAAACUGGACAACUAGAGUGUGGUAGAGGGUAGCGGAAUUCCCGGUGUAGCAGUGAAAUGCGUAGAGAUCGGGAGGAACAUCCAUGGCGAAGGCAGCUACCUGGACCAACACUGACACUGAGGCACGAAAGCGUGGGGAGCAAACAGGAUUAGAUACCCUGGUAGUCCACGCCCUAAACGAUGCGAACUGGAUGUUGGGUGCAAUUUGGCACGCAGUAUCGAAGCUAACGCGUUAAGUUCGCCGCCUGGGGAGUACGG